AGAAGGUAAAAUAUUAAGCCUCUCUCUCAAAGCUCACGCCCAAUCUCUCUGCCAAACCUCGCCGCGCCGGUGACAGUCCCACGCCGGUGACAGUCCCUCUGCCAACCUCUGUUAAACGCACCAAAUCUCAGCAAACAAUUCUCAACAAUUGAGCCCUAAUUCGCACCACAAACAACCAGCUCCUUCAAACAAUUCGAACCAUCCAAUACGUUUAGGUUUUUUUCUCGAUUAAGCUCGGCUAACACGUCAAGUUCCACAGAUCCCUAAUUUAAGUUGAGCCCUAAUUCGCCUAUUUCAUUCCUCACUGAAGAAGAAUUUGCCGCUGGGUAGCUGUGGAAUAGAUAUCAUCCUUGUUUCAGAGAAGGGCUACUUGAAACUCUAGGCAAUUUUCCAUUCCCCAAUUGUUGAGCAGAUCUAUGUGUCAAUUCCCCCAAUGGACUUGUUCUACCGUUACAACAAUGAAGCUUCUGCAAUGAAAAAGAGAAAAAGUGAAAGGUAUAUAAAGCAAAAAACCAACAACAAGAUUCUCUUUAAUCAGCAUAAGCACUUUCCUAAUGCUACAGUCUUCCUUAACUAUACAAAUUUUGGUACAAAAGAUUAAUCUCAGCACCUACAAUUUAGUCUCACAUGGCCAUUUCAUUAGCAAAUAACUUGACAUCAACUCUGUCCAUCUAUUUCCUCCACUAGUUUGCAUGCUUGUGUAGUGAUGAAUAAUGACAAAUCGAUAUAUUAUUGAGUAAUAUACCAUUAAAGUAUGAGAAAUAUUUCUGUCAGUGAAAGUUCAGUCAAACUGUUUAUUUAUUGCUCCAAAAUUUAAUAGUAUCAAAAGAUGACAAUAGAGGAUCUUUUCUUAAAAUUAGAAUUGAAAUACCUGGUGAGUGAUUGUAUUCUGAGGCUUUAACUUUCAUAUAACUUAACAACAGCUUUUGAAGAAGAACCAUGCAAAUUCCUUUUACAAAUUAGAGUGUCUGAAAUGCUUAAAACAGCAAAGCUACUAACUAAAGACUAUUGGAAUUACAGUGUUCUUAAGUUGAAUUGAACUUAGAAAUAGGUCAAGCAACAAACUGAAAAAGAAUGGAUAACAGAUUGAAUCACAAGAUUUACUAUUCCAAAUCACCAGAAUAUUAUUUCCAGAAGGAAUGCAACUCUUAACUCGCUAUGGGGUCAGUGCAUCAUUAUAACUGCGGUUCAAGCAUUUUGUCAUGGGCGGCUUUCCAGCCGUGCCCCUUGACCCCUUGGGCG